UACGGGGGGAGCAAGCGUUGUUCGGAUUUACUGGGCGUAAAGGGCGCGUAGGCGGCCAGCACAAGUCAGUUGUGAAAUCUCCGGGCUUAACCCGGAAAGGUCAACUGAUACUGUGCGGCUAGAGUGCAGAAGGGGCAACUGGAAUUCUCGGUGUAGCGGUGAAAUGCGUAGAUAUCGAGAGGAACACCUGCGGCGAAGGCGGGUUGCUGGGCUGACACUGACGCUGAUGCGCGAAAGCCAGGGGAGCGAACGGG
rnacentral:rRNA from 1 species